rnacentral:rRNA from 1 species
UACGAAGGGGGCUAGCGUUGUUCGGAAUUACUGGGCGUAAAGCGCGUGUAGGCGGGCCGUUAAGUCGGGGGUGAAAGCCCAGAGCUCAACUCUGGAAUUGCCUUCGAUACUGGCGGCCUGGAGCAUGAUAGAGGCGAGUGGAAUUGCGAGUGUAGAGGUGAAAUUCGUAGAUAUUCGCAGGAACACCAGUGGCGAAGGCGACUCGCCGGAUCAUUGCAGACGCUGAGACGCGAAAGCGUGGGGAGCAAACAGG